rnacentral:lncRNA from 1 species
ACAUAGCAACAAUCAUGAAUCAUAAAUAAUUACCUUUUAUUUUUUAAUUUUAAAUUAAAUUAUAAAAUUAUUAAAAUAGCCUUGGAUUUAAACUCUGUUUUUUAAUAAGAAAUUUUUUGUAACCUAAAAUUGAGUGUUGCUUCCUCCACCACCUCCAUUCCCCUCCACCUUCUCAAUUCUCUAUAAUUUUUUUUAAUUACAAAAGUAGUUUUUUUUACCUUUAACCCUAUUUAUUUACUUUAUUCUGAAAUCCUAAAUUCCUACUUAUUUUUACUCACCCAUUUUUACUUGUGCAGCCUCAUCCCCCAUUGUCCUAAGUCCCACUUUCUCUCUUUCCAGAUUUUCACCCCCUCUAACUCUCACCAGAUCCAUUUCUUCUCAUCUCCCAAUUCUUAUUUCUCUUCUCCAUAUCUAUUUGGUUCUUCUCCAUCUCCAUAUCCGUUUGGUUUCGUGGUGCCGUGGUGUGACUUUUCAUGGUGUGGCGGUGCGGGAUGUUUGCGAUGGUCAUUUGGUGUGCAACGGUUCCAAACAAUAAUGAAUGUUUUAUAACUAACAAUAAUUAAUAUUUUAUGACUAACAUC